rnacentral:lncRNA from 1 species
CCAUUUGACAAGGAUAAGGCCACCGGCCGGAUUACGAGCUUCUUCGAGCCCGGGACAGCUAUCAGCACGAAAGGGUGCCCCAAGCUGCUGUACUGCAAGUCGACCCUCCCAGGAACCGAAAACUUCGUGUCAAAUCCGCCACUACUGGAGAUGCUGGCAAAGAGGAGCGCAACCGACGCCCCAUCAGUUGAGCGCCCUUUCAAGUGCCUAGCUGCCAAGUGGCCGGCCACGGGCGGGAGUCCUUUGACUGCGGCGGACAAUGUGCGUUUCAGGGUCUCAACCCAAGUCGACCCGAGUAAAACCGCUACUUCAGGAGAAGGAUCCGGUGCGUCUACCCAAAUGACAUCCGAAGCCACUGUUGGAGCUACGGCCACUGCCAUCGACCAGCUGGGUGAGGGCGGUGACGCUGCAGAUGGCGCUCCAGGAUCUUCCUCAUUGGAUGCCGGUGCAAAGUCAUCCUCCUCGUUGGGUGCCGCUACCGAUCAGUCGGGUGAGGACGGUGAUACAACCGAUGCUGCUCUGGGGUCUUCUUUACCGGUGGAACAUGAGCGCAAGAAGAGCCUGGCCAAGUCCGACAAGUGGGCAGAGAAGGUGAAUGAGGCGGAAGAAACUGGCGGGAAGGCCCGGGUGGAUGAGUUGGAGCAGCGUCCAUAA